rnacentral:lncRNA from 1 species
CUCUUUUUGGUUAGGUCAGCAAUAGGAGCAGGGACCACUUUUUAUACAGGAGCUCAUUAUUAAGUUGGAGACUUUCCUGUGGCCCCCUUGCCCUCCCCUGCAUUACCUAGUGUCAAGCAGCAUAAUGCCAUUCAUUUUUUCCUUUGUUGGCAUCCUCACCAUCAAGAACCUUGUUGCCUUGAAUGAAAUGUCAGCUCCCUCCCAGAGGAUGCCUAGGAUGACCAUUGCAGAGUGGGCAUUUGGAGAUAAUGAGGAAGAAGAUGAAGAUGAACCUAGAAUGAAUCAUCCCUAUAGUUAAUGAAGUGGUGGAAGUAAAAUGAAUUGGAGUGAGUGCCAUCCCACUGAUUUUAGGCAUCUGAAGCUUGCUUUCCCAAGGAACUGGCUUCUCUGAAUAUGCAUUUCUUUUUUGCCUAUUAAACACUGCUUUCUACCCCCUUCACUGCCCCUGAUUCUGAUCUACUAUCUCCCACUUUUUUUCUAUGUGGUUUUGAACAAACUAUUAGCUCUCCAAGCCCAGCUUUUCUAAGUGAAUAUAAGCUCCUCGAGAACGGGGGAAUGUCCUUGUUUUUGUAUCCCUA